GAAGAAUCCCAUGCUACAAUGCUGCCCGGUGACCAUACACCAAAGGAAAAAGAGCUCAUUGGCAUUCACCAUGCCUAAGUUGUCACCGUGGCCCAUGAUUGUGUAGGUGGCUAACCUGUGCAUGUACCGCAAAGCAGGGUUGGUGAUACCCGUAGAUUUUGACUUACUGGAGUUGUAGACUUCUGUGUUCGGGGCUAUGGAAUGCCAGAAGUCAACACUGUUGUAGACCAUCUGAUUUUGC
rnacentral:misc_RNA from 1 species